ACUCCUACGGGAGGCAGCAGUGGGGAAUAUUGCACAAUGGGCGAAAGCCUGAUGCAGCCAUGCCGCGUGUGUGAAGAAGGCCUUCGGGUUGUAAAGCACUUUCAGCGGGGAGGAAGGCGAUAAGGUUAAUAACCUUGGCGAUUGACGUUACCCGCAGAAGAAGCACCGGCUAACUCCGUGCCAGCAGCCGCGGUAAUACA
rnacentral:rRNA from 1 species